AGUGAACGCUGGCGGCGUGCCUAAUACAUGCAAGUCGAACGGACAAGUAAGAGCUUGCUCUUAUGAGUUAGUGGCGCACGGGUGAGUAAUGUAUAGCUAAUCUGCCCUACACUAGAGGACAACAGUUGGAAACGACUGCUAAUACUCUAUACACCUCUCUAGCAUAAGUUAGAUAGGGAAAGUUUUUCGGUGUAGGAUGAGGCUAUAUUGUAUCAGCUAGUUGGUGAGGUAAUGGCUCACCAAGGCUAUGACGCAUAACUGGUCUGAGAGGAUGAUCAGUCACACUGGAACUGAGACACGGUCCAGACUCCUACGGGAGGCAGCAGUAGGGAAUAUUGCUCAAUGGGGGAAACCCUGAAGCAGCAACGCCGCGUGGAGGAUGACACUUUUCGGAGCGUAAACUCCUUUUGUUAGGGAAGAACAAUGACGGUACCUAACGAAUAAGCACCGGCUAACUCCGUGCCAGCAGCCGCGGUAAUACGGAGGGUGCAAGCGUUACUCGGAAUCACUGGGCGUAAAGGACGCGUAGGCGGAUUAUCAAGUCUCUUGUGAAAUCCUAUGGCUUAACCAUAGAACUGCUUGGGAAACUGAUAAUCUAGAGUGAGGGAGAGGCAGAUGGAAUUGGUGGUGUAGGGGUAAAAUCCGUAGAGAUCACCAGGAAUACCCAUUGCGAAGGCGAUCUGCUGGAACUCAACUGACGCUAUGCGUGAAAGCGUGGGGAGCAAACAGG
rnacentral:rRNA from 1 species